CGCCUCUUGCUCAUUUAUAAGAGGUCCAGCCUGCCCAGUGACUUAUAUUCAACGGCCGCGGUAUCCUAACCGUGCAAAGGUAGCGUAAUCACUUGUCCCUUAAAUAGAGACCUGUAUCAACGGCAUCACGAAGGUUAUACUGUCUCCCCACUCCAAUCAGUGAAACUGAUCUUCCCGUGAAAAAGCGGGAAUAUUUUUAUAAGACGAGAAGACCCCAUGGAGCUUUAAGCCCAGCAGCAAUCUCAUAUCUAUAAUUCUUCAAACUUCAAGAGAACCUGCCCGCUGGCUUUAGGUUGGGGCGACCACGAAGUACAAUACAACCUUCAUGACAAAUGGAAUUUUUUCCUUAUCUUAGAGCUACCACUCCAAGAAUUAAUAACUUAAUGUAAUAUGAUCCGAUUUAUUCGAUCAACGGACCAAGUUACCCUGGGGAUAACAGCGCAAUCCACUUCAAGAGUUCCUAUCGACAAGUGGGUUUACGACCUCGAUGUUGGAUCAGGGUAUCCUAGUGGUGCAGCCGCUACUAACGGUUCGUUUGUUCAACGAUUAAAACCCU
rnacentral:rRNA from 1 species